CAGUCGCCGCGGUAAAACGGAGGAUCCGAGCGUUAUCCGGAAUUAUUGGGUUUAAAGGGUGCGUAGGCGGAUAGAUAAGUCAGUGGUGAAAGACGGUGGCUCAACCAUCGCAGUGCCGUUGAUACUGUUUAUCUUGAAUAUGGAUGAGGUAGGCGGAAUGUGGCAAGUAGCGGUGAAAUGCAUAGAUAUGCCACAGAACACCGAUUGCGAAGGCAGCUUACCAAGGCAAAAUUGACGCUGAGGCACGAAAGCGUGGGGAUCGAACAGGAUUAGAUACCCCCGUAGUCCCUGUCUCUUAUAC
rnacentral:rRNA from 1 species